rfam:Plasmodium vivax chromosome 9, whole genome shotgun sequence.
UCGCACAUGAUGAAAGCAUACGCUUGGCAUCUGAAUAAAAUUAUUUUGAAGAUAAUUUUGUAACCAGUUAUCCCUAUCUGACACGGA